rnacentral:misc_RNA from 1 species
CUCAAGUUACCAUCGCUAACGCGUGAGCUGACUAGGGAAUUAUUGAUCCCGGAGUUGGCUAAAUGAGCUGUAUACUUUGUAGAGUCAAUUUAAUGGAAUACGUCUAAUAAACGUGCGCUACACCAGUACAAAAAUAGCAACAAAGUUUGCACAGCACCUGCGACUGUCAAACUGAUUUAAGCCAGUCAGCAGAAACAGCAGCAGCAGUAGCAGCAGUUCACCUACAUACACACACACACACACACACCCACCCAAAUACACAAAUAGCACGCACACACUGCUAAAAUGGUGGACGCUGCGAGACAAAUGCUCGAUGAGCUAAUGGGCCGCAAUCGAAAUUUGCAUCCAUCUGAGGCUGGGCAAGCGGUCAAUUGGGAAGAUCCAGAGUUCUGUCAAUUUUACAAUGUGAAAUUCUGUCCGCAUGAUCUGUUUAUUAAUACUCGUGCCGAUUUGGGUCCUUGCACACGCAUCCACGACGAGGAGGCGAAACAUUUGUACGAGGAGGCGCGUCCAUCGCAGCGCAAACGCCAUACGGAGGAUGAGUUUCUGCGCUUCUGCAAUGUGAUGCUGCACGAUGUCGAUCGGAAGAUACAAAAGGGCAAGCAGCGCCUGCAGCUGAUGCAGCGCGAUCAUCCGUCGGGCACAAUGUCGCAAGCGGCCAAGCAGCAGGAGCAUCUGAACAAUCUAACCGCACGCAUCAACAAACUGAUGGCCGAGGCUGAGGAGGCAGGCAUCCGCGGCGAUGUGGAUCAGGCGCAGGAUCUGAUGGCCAUGUGCGAGGAGCUCAAAGAGGAGAAGGAAUCAUUGCAUCAGCAAUAUGAGGCGCACAUGAAAAGCUAUCACAAGUUGCGUGCGCCGCCGCCAACAGCGAUAACAACAGCUGUAACCACGCCCACCACACCAACAAUAAACGAAGCACCAAUAGGAGAACAGCUGCUACUUGCCAGUCCCGGUUCCAGCGUAGAAAACGUAGCUGGCAAUACGAUUGCGCUCGACAGCAAAGAACCCAAUGAAACGACCGAUGAGGCAACAACAGGAAUUGCAAGCUCUCCAUCAAGCGAAUGUGCUUCGCCCAGAGCGGCCGCAUCCCCCUCAGCCGAUGACAACAAAUCGGAGUCCAAGGGCGAUGGCAAACAGACGGCGAAUUGGUCGCACGAAGUGCUGCCCGAAAAACAAAUGAAGGUGUGCGAAAUAUGCGGCGCUUUUCUGAUUGUGGGCGAUGCCCAGCAGCGCAUCGAAGACCAUUUGAUGGGCAAACAGCAUUUGGGUUACUCCAAGCUGCGCAAUGCUGUUGCCGAGAUCAAUGAGCGGCGACAAAAGGAGCACGAAGAGGAGGAGCGCAAGCGGCGCGAUGAUCGUGUGCAACGCUUUCACAAUAGCUACGAGAGCAGACGUGAUCAGCGCGACUAUCGGGAACGCAGUCGUGACUAUCCGCCCAAUCGUCAAUCGUCGGACAGGCGGCAUCAUCAUCACAAAUCACACCACGGCCAUUCAUAUUCGCGCAGUGGCAGCCACAACAGCAGCAGCAGCAGUCGGCGCAGCAGUCAUAGUCAUCAUUAUCGUCACGACAGUCGGGAGCGGCAUGGUCGCAGUCGCAGUCGCAGCCGUUACUAGGACACAACCAAAGCUACAAACAGCCGCUGCUACAACAACAGCAACAUCUAACAAAAGCAAACAAAAGAAACAAAAACUGCAGCAAACUAUGAUAAAAAACAAAGCAAAAACAUAAUAAACUCUUCUAAUCGAAACGCAAAAUGAAAUUAGCUGAAGAUACUACGCAACCUCAGCAACAACAACAACAUCAACAUCUCUGGCCGAUUGCCACGUCCCUCUUCCACCCCUACAUACUCCAUGCAGCAUCGAGCAAUUAAGAUCAGACAGUCUAAGGGGCACGCAUGUGUGCGUGGCACAUGUGCCAAACAUGCCAAAGAUCUGAGGUGAGUUCAACAACAGACUAUCUAUAACGCUAUUCAUAUAACUCCAACUUGUACACGUACUCGUAGUCCCACCAAGAAACCAAAAAAUGUUAAAUUUAUAUAUACUCCAUGUGUAAUCUCCAUCUGUACAGAGACAGGCACAAACUGUCGAAAAAACAAAAACCUCAAACAAUAUUUUAAAGUAAAUCAAAAAACCUUAAAUUCACUCAAUUCAAAGAAAACACACACUCACACACACACACAUACAUAGACACAAACACAAAAAUUCAUUACUAGAUAACAGACUAAUAUUUGCACGAGGCUCGCCUGUUUCGGUCUUAUCUAUAUAUAUCUACAUCUAAAUUUAUAUGUUAGCUCUAUGCAUGCUCAUUGUGCAGCUGCUACUAAAGGAAUAGUGGGAUGGAACGGCAUUAUAGGACCUAUGCUGAGUAAUUUUUAGAGAAAACAAACAAUUGUCUUUAUGUGUAAGGUAUAUGUAGGGCAAAGCUGGCAAAGCUUAGCAAUGCAGAGCUGAAACAUAUUUUUAGUUUCUUUCAGUCUUUAAUAUAAAAAAUAAGACUAUUAAAUUCAAACAG